rnacentral:lncRNA from 1 species
CAAUCUAUAUUGUUCAUCACAUGGAAAUGUUUUUGUGAAGAUUUUAAUUUAGAAAAAAGAACAGAUUGUUUCAUGAAUUUGGCAUUACCUUUAGCCGUAAUUAUUUGAGAUUCCCUGUCUGCAGAGAGGAGAGUACUCAUUUAACAAUAUGUAUUUCACUAAAUCUACUAGCCAUUCCUUCAAAUUGUGAGCCUCUAUCAAAAUAAUUAUAAAACUAGUUUCAGACAUCUUUGUCCAAGUCCAAGUGAUGGCAUCCUCUUCCCCCUCCUUUUAUUCAUCCAACCACCAACGCCUCCUCUCCAUGACAAAACUCAUAACAUCCCACGUAAACCAAUCCCGCCACAAACAAGCUCUAUCUAUCUUCCACCACAUGCACACCACCUUACCCAUCUCCCUCGACCCACACGUCUUCACCCUCGUCCUCAAAUCCUGCACCACCCUCCACCUCCCUCUCCUCGCCACCUCCAUCCACUCUCACCUCAUCAAAACCUCGUUCCUCACCUCCAACCACUUCCUCUCCUCCUCCCUCAUCAACUUCUACGGCCACUGUCUCUCCCUCAACUCCGCACGUAAACUGUUCGACGAAACUCCUCAACCAAAUGUCAUCGUUUGGAACUCCAUUAUCGCACUAUACUCCCGUUCACAACAUAUUUCGUCUGCUAUUAAACUCUUUAACAUCAUGAAUGUGCCUCCAAAUGAAUCCACUUUCAACCCAAUUAUCGCCGCCUUAUCAUUGUCGAAUCAAAACAAUGCUUCGUUUCAAGCCGUGAAGUUCUACCGAAAAAUGAUUGAGUUGAAACUGAAGCCGAGUUUGAUCACGCUUCUCGCUCUUCUUCGCGCAUCUGUUUUGACUGCGGCUUUGAAUUUGAUUAAAGAGAUACAUGGUUAUGGGAUAAGGAAUGAUAUUGAUUCGGAUCCUCAAAUGAGUAGUGGGUUGAUUGAAGCUUACGGUAGAUGCGGUUGUUUAAUAAAUUCGCGAUUAGUUUUUUCGGGGAUGAGGGUAUGCGAUAAAGAUGUAGUUGUUUGGAGUAGUUUAAACAAUUUUAUUUAUUGAAAAGUGAAUUUUCUUGAUGGAUAAUCCAAACCAUAUUUAAAUUGGAUCUUCAUGCAUUUCUAAUAACUUUUACUACUAAAAAAACCUAAUGAUUAUAUAUUCUUAUCUCUUUCUUCGCCUAUCUAUAUUAAUUGAACCAUGCAUGGUUAAUUAAAAUGUCACUAAUUAUUAUCACACAACAUAUAUAUUUUUAGAGAUUAUUGCUAUACACUGUCAGUGUAAAUUUUUUUACACCGUCGAUCAUCACCAUCAUCCGUUUCUAUUACUUAUAGAUUUUUAAAAUAAAAGUCAAAUUUCUUUUAAUAUCCGACGUCUAUGAUUAACUGAUGAUGUAAAAUCUUUUUACACAUUGAAGUGGACAUUCACCUUUGUAAUGUUUGUACAACUCGCUCAAUUAAUAACAAAUGGAAAGUAGUACCACCGUCUUAAAUUAUAUGACAUUUUGAAUAUUUUAUAUAUAAAAAAUACAAUUUAUUAUAUAAAAGAGAAUAUAUAAAAUUUAUAAUAUUUUUAUUAAUUAUAGAAAAAAGAGAGAUUAAAAGAUUAGAAGAAAGAAGAAUAUUUCCUCUGUUCCAUAAUAAGUGACCAUUUGAAAUAAAAAAUGUCUUAAAAUAGUAAAAAUACAUUAAAAAAUAAUCAUUAAUAUUGUAUUGGAAUUACAAAAUAAUUUAUAUUUUUAAAUAAAUUUUUUAUAAAAUAAUUUAUAAUUUAAAAUAGGAGAGUAAUAAACAACUAUUUUUGUGCUUGCUUAGACAAUAUGUAUUUCACGUAACCAAUAUGUAUUUCACUAAAUCUACUAGCCAUUCCUUCAAAUUGUGAGCCUCUAUCAAAAUAAUUAUAAAACUAGUUUCAGACAUCUUGUCCAAGUCCAAGUGAUGGCAUCCUCUUCCCUCCUUUUAUUCAUCCAACCACCAACGCCUCCUCUCCAUGACAAAACUCAUAACAUCCCACGUAAACCAAUCCGCCACAAACAAGCUCUAUCUAUCUUCCACCACAUGCACACCACCUUACCCAUCUCCCUGACCCACACGUCUUCACCCUCGUCCUCAAAUCCUGCACCACCUCCACCUCCCUCUCCUCGCCACCUCCAUCCACUCUCACCUCAUCAAAACCUCGUUCCUCACCUCCAACCACUUC